CGGAGGAAAAGAAACCAACCGGGAUUGCCUUAGUAACGGCGAGUGAAGCGGCAAAAGCUCAAAUUUGAAAUCUGGUACCUUCGGUGCCCGAGUUGUAAUUUGUAGAAGGUAACUUUGGGGCUGGUCCUUGUCUAUGUUCCUUGGAACAGGACGUCAUAGAGGGUGAGAAUCCCGUGUGGCGAGGAUCCCAGUUCUUUGUAAAGUGCUUUCGAAGAGUCGAGUUGUUUGGGAAUGCAGCUCUAAGUGGGUGGUAAAUUCCAUCUAAAGCUAAAUAUUGGCGAGAGACCGAUAGCGAACAAGUACAGUGAUGGAAAGAUGAAAAGAACUUUGAAAAGAGAGUGAAAAAGUACGUGAAAUUGUUGAAAGGGAAGGGCAUUUGAUCAGACAUGGUGUUUUGCGCCCUCUGCUCCUUGUGGGUGGGGGAAUCUCGCAGCUCACUGGGCCAGCAUCAGUUUUGGCGGCAGGAUAAAUCUGCAGGAAUGUAGCUUGCCUCGGUAAGUGUUAUAUCCUGUAGAAAUACUGCCAGCUGGGACUGAGGACUGCGACUUUACGUCAAGGAUGCUGGCAUAAUGGUUAUAUGCCGCCCGUCUUGAACCACGGA
rnacentral:rRNA from 1 species